UGGGGAAUUUUCCGCAAUGGGCGCAAGCCUGACGGAGCAACGCCGCGUGUGGGAAGAAGGCUCUUGGGCUGUCAACCACUUUUCUCAGGGAAGAAGCCCUGACGGUACCUGAGGAAUCAGCCUCGGCUAACUCCGUGCCAGCAGCCGCGGUAAUACGGAGGAGGCAAGCGUUAUCCGGAAUUAUUGGGCGUAAAGCGUCCGCAGGGGGCACAUCAAGUCUGCUGUUAAAGGCUGGAGCUUAACUCCGGUAGAGCAGUGGAAACUGGUGUGCUAGAGGGCGACAGGGGUAGAGGGAAUUCCCAGUGUAGCGGUGAAAUGCGUAGAGAUUGGGAAGAACACCGGUGGUGAAAGCGCUCUACUGGGUCGCACCUGACCCUCAGGGACGAAAGCUAAGGUAGCGAAAGGGAUUAGAUACCCCUGUAGUCUUAGCCGUAAACGAUGGAUACUAGGCGUGGUUUGUAUCGACCCAAGCCGUGCCGAAGCUAACGCGUUAAGUAUCCCGCCUGGGGAGUACGCACGCAAGUGUG
rnacentral:rRNA from 1 species